GAAGCUAAGCAGGGUCGGGCCUGGUUAGUACUUGGAUGGGAAACCACCUAAGAAGACCAGGUGCUGUAGGCG
rnacentral:rRNA from 1 species